CACGUAGGCACCAAGCGUUGUCCGGAUUUAUUGGGCGUAAAGGGCUCGUAGGCGGUUUGUCGCGUCGGGAGUGAAAACACGGGGCUUAACCCCGUGCCUGCUUCCGAUACGGGCAGACUAGAGGUAUGCAGGGGAGAACGGAAUUCCUGGUGUAGCGGUGAAAUGCGCAGAUAUCAGGAGGAACACCGGUGGCGAAGGCGGUUCUCUGGGCAUUACCUGACGCUGAGGAGCGAAAGUGUGGGGAGCGAACAGG
rnacentral:rRNA from 1 species